UCGAGGUAAAUGGGAUUAAGAACCUUGCUCUUAGAAACUUAGCGGCGACGGGGUGAGUAACACGUGGGUAACCUGCCCCAUAAGACUUGGGAUAACUCCGGGAAACCGGGGGUUAAUACCGGAUAACCUUUUUGAACCGCAUGGUUCGAAAUUGAAAGGCGGCUUCGGCUGUCACUUAUGGAUGGACCCGCGUCGCAUUAGCUAGUUGGUGAGGUAACGGCUCACCAAGGCAACGAUGCGUAGCCGACCUGAGAGGGUGAUCGGCCACACUGGGACUGAGACACGGCCCAGACUCCUACGGGAGGCAGCAGUAGGGAAUCUUCCGCAAUGGACGAAAGUCUGACGGAGCAACGCCGCGUGAGUGAUGAAGGCUUUCGGGUCGUAAAACUCUGUUGUUAGGGAAGAACAAGUGCUAGUUGAAUAAGCUGGCACCUUGACGGUACCUAACCAGAAAGCCACGGCUAACUACGUGCCAGCAGCCGCGGUAAUACGUAGGUGGCAAGCGUUAUCCGGAAUUAUUGGGCGUAAAGCGCGCGCAGGUGGUUUCUUAAGUCUGAUGUGAAAGCCCACGGCUCAACCGUGGAGGGUCAUUGGAAACUGGGAGACUUGAGUGCAGAAGAGGAAAGUGGAAUUCCAUGUGUAGCGGUGAAAUGCGUAGAGAUAUGGAGGAACACCAGUGGCGAAGGCGACUUUCUGGUCUGUAACUGACACUGAGGCGCGAAAGCGUGGGGAGCAAACAGGAUUUUUUACCCUGGUAGUCCACGCCGUAAACGAUGAGUUCUUAUGUUAGAGGGUUUCCGCCCUUUAGUGCUGAAGUAACGCAUAAGCACUCCGCCUGGGA
rnacentral:rRNA from 1 species